GGUGAGUAACACGUGGAUAACCUACCUAUAAGACUGGGAUAACUUCGGGAAACCGGAGCUAAUACCGGAUAAUAUUUUGAACCGCAUGGUUCAAAAGUGAAAGACGGUCUUGCUGUCACUUAUAGAUGGAUCCGCGCUGCAUUAGCUAGUUGGUAAGGUAACGGCUUACCAAUGCAACGAUGCAUAGCCGACCUGAGAGGGUGAUCGGCCACACUGGAACUGAGACACGGUCCAG
rnacentral:rRNA from 1 species